rnacentral:rRNA from 1 species
UACGGAGGGUGCAAACGUUGCUCGGAAUCAUUGGGCGUAAAGCGCACGUAGGCGGCCUGUUAAGUCGGGUGUGAAAGCCCUGGGCUCAACCCAGGAAGUGCACUCGAAACUGGCGGGCUUGAAUAUGGAAGAGGGUCGCGGAAUUCCCAGUGUAGCGGUGAAAUGCGCAGAUAUUGGGAAGAACACCAGUGGCGAAGGCGGUUCUCUGGGACGGUACUGACGCUGAGACGCGAAAGCGUGGGGAGCGAACAGG